AGCGCUGUCGUAGGAAGUGAGUGACCUAGGAGCGUGCACUACGCAUGCGUCCUCCCUCGGCUCGGCUAAAUCCCGGAAGCGCAGCGGCUGUGACUGUGCACUCUCCGGGUUUUGUUACCUAGGUCUUUCAAGACUUAAAGCGGGAUUGGUGUGUUUGGCUCGUGGAAUAUGAAGAUAAGUAAAAAUAUCCUCUAAUUGGUUGUGAACCAGCAUCAACUGCCAGAAAUGUGAGUGAACAUGUCUUCAGGUUAUUCCUGCCCCAGAUUUGGAGACUCCUCACUGAAGACCUGAACACUGUGGAGCCGCACACAGUCAUCUCUGCUAUGCUUUGUCUGGAUUUCUGAUGUACACAUCUCUGAAGAUAGUUGGUUGAUCAAAAAGCCUUCAAUGGAGUAGAUUAAUGGCCCAUUCUUGCUUGUCACAAGGAUACAGUUGUGUAAAUCAUCACAGCUCCAGAGGCCAGAAGUCUGAAGUCAAGGUGUCGGCAAGGCCAAUGCUUUCUCUGAAGGUAUGAGGAAUGGAGCUUCCCCUGCCUUUCUUCUUGUAGCCUAUGCUGUCCUGCAUUGAAGUAGAUUCAUCAUUCCAAUCUUUGGUCUUCGUGUGACAUUAUUCCUGUGUAUCUUUGCCUCCUCUUUCCUUUAUUUG